GAUGAACGCUGGCGGCGUGCCUAAUACAUGCAAGUCGAGCGAACGGACGAGAAGCUUGCUUCUCUGAUGUUAGCGGCGGACGGGUGAGUAACACGUGGAUAACCUACCUAUAAGACUGGGAUAACUUCGGGAAACCGGAUCUAAUACCGGAUAAUAUUUUGAACCGCAUGGUUCAAAAGUGAAAGACGGUCUUUCUGUCUCUUAUAGAUGGAUCCGCGUUGCAUUAGCUAGUUGGUAAGGUAACGGCUUACCAAGGCAACGAUGCAUAGCCGACCUGAGAGAGGGAUAGGCCACACUGGAACUGGGCCACGGUCCAGACUCCUACGGGAGGCAGCAGUAGGGAAUCUUACGCAAUGGGCGAAAGCCUGACGGAGCAACGCCGCGCGAGAGAUGACGGUGUUGGGAUCGUAAAAAUCUGUUAUUAGUGAAGAACAUAUGUGUAAGUAAAUGUGCACAUAUUGACGGUACCUGAACAGAAAGCCACGGCUAACUACGUG
rnacentral:rRNA from 1 species